UACGUAGGGGGCAAGCGUUGUCCGGAUUUAUUGGGCGUAAAGAGCGUGUAGGCGGCCAAGCAGGUCAGCUGUGAAAACUCGAGGCUCAACCUCGAGACGUCGGUUGAAACCGCUUGGCUAGAGUCCGGGAGAGGAGAGUGGAAUUCCCGGUGUAGCGGUGAAAUGCGCAGAUAUCGGGAAGAACACCCGUGGCGAAGGCGGCUCUCUGGGACGGUACUGACGCUGAGACGCGAAAGCGUGGGGAGCGAACAGG
rnacentral:rRNA from 1 species